rnacentral:rRNA from 1 species
GAUUAACGCUGGCGGCGUGCCUAACACAUGCAAGUCGAGCGGCAGCGAGUUUUACACUGAAUUCUGGAAGCUUCUAGUUGAAAGAGAAGAUUUAUUCAAGAAUUUUGUGUAAAAUGUCGGCGAGCGGCGGACGGCUGAGUAACGCGUGGGAACGUACCCCAAAGUGAGGGAUAACGCAUCGAAAGGUGUGCUAAUACCGCAUAUGGUCUUCGGAUUAAAGCCUUCGGGCGCUUUGGGAACGGCCUGCGUAAGAUUAGAUAGUUGGUGGGGUAAUGGCCUACCAAGUCGACGAUAUUUAACUGGGAUGAGAGGAUGAGCAGUCAGACUGGAACUGAGACACGGUCCAGACUCCUACGGGAGGCAGCAGUGAGGAAUCUUCCACAAUGGGCGAAAGCCUGAUGGAGCAAAGCCGCGUGCAGGAUGAAGGCCUUCGGGUUGUAAACUGCUUUUAUAAGUGAGGAUUAUGACAGUAACUUAUGAAUAAGGAUCGGCUAACUACGUG